AUCCUUGCCCCAGGGGAGGAGGAGAACUUGGAGGUGGAAGAAGAGGAGGAUGCUGCUACAGGAGCAGGCUCCCCAGAGUCCUUUCCCAACAGAGUACCAGUUUUGCAAGGUACAUUGUUGCCACGGUUACCCUCAGAGCCC